rnacentral:misc_RNA from 1 species
UCCGAGUUGUCCCCGGCAGUCCUCUUAGAGUCCUCAGCAUUACCUGUUAGCAACUGGGAGCGGGGGUUGCGCUCGUUGCGGGACUUAACCCAACAUCUCACGACACGAGCUUACGACAGCCAUGCAGCACCUGUCUUGGGACUCCGAAGAGGGGCCGUGGUUUCUCACGGCUUUCCCCAAGAUGUCAAGCCCAGGUAAGGUUCUUCGCGUUGCGUCGAAUUAAACCACAUGCUCCACCGCUUGUGCGGGUCCCCGUCAAUUCCUUUGAGUUUCAGUCUUGCGACCGUACUCCCCAGGCGGAAUGCUUAAAGCGUUAGCGACGGCACCCGGGGACUUUAUAACCCCAGACACCAAGCAUUCAUCGUUUAAGGCUAGGACUAC